rnacentral:sRNA from 1 species
CUGCCUCCCAGACAGCCUCCCCACGGUAGCGUGGGCUUCCUCCUUCCUUCUGAGACUCACAGCAGGAGGGCACUUUGCAUCACAUGAGACAUUCUAGGGAAGGCUGACCCACCAAGCUGAGUAGUAGAGCUGCCUAGACCUCCUCCUACUAAGUUGCCCAGUGGCCUUGGGAGCUGAGGAAGCAGUAGGGGAGAGGGAGGAGCGGGUGCCACCUUGGCACUGUCCUGAGUUUCAGCGGGAGUCGGCCAGCCCUCUGCUUCACUGUCAUAGGCAGUGGUCACCAUGUGGGAAGGGGCAAAAAGAAGCCGAAGCUCAGAGAGGAACAAUGGAUCUGUGUGUGAUUGAUCUACCCAUGGUAUGUCUUGGGUACCUACCAUGUGCCAGGCUUUGUGCUGGGCACUUUGAGGGCUAAGACAUGAGUAGGUUGCAUCUGCUGUCUUCAAGUUGUCAGCAGGCCACUCGCUCUGGUGGGACCCUCGUGCUUGUGGGGCUGGGCUCUGAGAUGACCACCGUACCCCUACUGCAUGCAGCCGUCCGGGAGGUGGAUAUCAAGGGUGUGUUUCGAUACUGCAACACGUGGCCAGU